rnacentral:rRNA from 1 species
AGUGAACGCUGGCGGUAGGCCUAACACAUGCAAGUCGAACGGCAGCACAGUAAGAGCUUGCUCUUACGGGUGGCGAGUGGCGGACGGGUGAGGAAUACAUCGGAAUCUACCUUUUCGUGGGGGAUAACGUAGGGAAACUUACGCUAAUACCGCAUACGACCUACGGGUGAAAGCAGGGGAUCUUCGGACCUUGCGCGAUUGAAUGAGCCGAUGUCGGAUUAGCUAGUUGGCGGGGUAAAGGCCCACCAAGGCGACGAUCCGUAGCUGGUCUGAGAGGAUGAUCAGCCACACUGGAACUGAGACACGGUCCAGACUCCUACGGGAGGCAGCAGUGGUGAAUAUUGGACAAUGGGCGCAAGCCUGAUCCAGCCAUACCGCGUGGGUGAAGAAGGCCUUCGGGUUGUAAAGCCCUUUUGUUGGGAAAGAAAAGCAGCAGGUUAAUACCCCGCUGUUCUGACGGUACCCAAAGAAUAAGCACCGGCUAACUUCGUG